rnacentral:rRNA from 1 species
UACGAAGGGGGCUAGCGUUGCUCGGAUUGACUGGGCGUAAAGGGCGCGUAGGCGGUUUGUACAGUCAGACGUGAAAUUCCUGGGCUCAACCUGGGGGUCGUGUUGUUGAUACGUAUGGACUUGAGUUCGGAAGAGGGUCGUGGAAUUCCCAGUGUAGGGGUGAAAUUCGUAGAUAUUGGGAAGAACACCGGUGGCGAAGGCGGCGACCUGGUCCGAUACUGACGCUGAGGCGCGAAAGCGUGGGGAGCAAACAGG